AAAGAGCAUAUUCAGGCUAUUUCAUCUAAAUAUAAUAUCAGCCCAGCAUUGUUUUUUGGCUGCGUUUAACAAAGCAAUAAACAUGAUUUACUAUAUUCGGUGUUGACGGUCCCCUCAUCGUUUCCCCAGCCCUGUGUUGUGUGUGAGACGUUAAUAUUCGAACAUUGCCCACCUACAAGGAUAACAGGGCAUUGGUUCUGAAUAGUUUGGUGUAGAAUCUUAAUAU
rnacentral:misc_RNA from 1 species